rnacentral:rRNA from 1 species
GACGAACGCUGGCGGCGUGCUUAACACAUGCAAGUCGAACGAAGAGCGAUGGAAGCUUGCUUCUAUCAAUCUUAGUGGCGAACGGGUGAGUAACGCGUAAUCAACCUGCCCUUCAGAGGGGGACAACAGUUGGAAACGACUGCUAAUACCGCAUACGAUCUAAUCUCGGCAUCGAGGAUAGAUGAAAGGUGGCCUCCACAUGUAAGCUAUCACUGAAGGAGGGGAUUGCGUCUGAUUAGCUAGUUGGAGGGGUAACGGCCCACCAAGGCGAUGAUCAGUAGCCGGUCUGAGAGGAUGAACGGCCACAUUGGGACUGAGACACGGCUCAGACUCCUACGGGAGGCAGCAGUGGGGAAUCUUCCGCAAUGGACGAAAGUCUGACGGAGCAACGCCGCGUGAGUGAUGACGGCCUUCGGGUUGUAAAGCUCUGUUAAUCGGGACGAAAGGCCUUCUUGCGAAUAGUGAGAAGGAUUGACGGUACCGGAAUAGAAAGCCACGGCUAACUACGUG